UUUAAUUCCUCAUGUUAGUAAUUAACUAAUAAUUAAGAGAAUUUUAUAGUGAGUAAGUUAAUUUAUUUGGUAGUAAAUUAAUCUCGAAUUAACCACAGAUAAUUCCAUCCUAUUAGUAAUUGAAAAUUCUACAGAUGUGAAGAUGGAGCACGAAGAAGUCCAACUUGUCGAGGAAACAGACCUCCCCGAGGUCAAAGUUGAGCUGGACGAACUCUCCUUCGACUAUUGUACCGUCUACUCCCCCGAAGUUCUCGAGAUGACGGACCCCUUAAGUGACGUCGCCCACGAUCCUCCCACCUCCACUCCGUCAACGUCAACGUCAACGUGGCUCAAAAUUACGGCGACACGAAGCAUCGCCCCCACCCACGAUCCCUCAAGGUCACAAACUUGACACAUCUGCGGAAAGCAGUUCCACCUCGUCGCCCACCUCAACAAACACCUCAAACGUCACGACGAAUCCAAGCGGCCUGUCUGUGACCAGUGCGGCGAGAAGUUUGUCGACACCAAGAGUUUGACCUCCCAACAGAUCAGGGAACACGGCGCUGAUCCCUUCAUUUGCGAGGAGUGUGGCGCACGCCUGCUGACUCUACCAGGCUUAAAGUCUCACAUGAUGUCACACGCAGGGGAUACGACUCAUCCUAAGCCUCAUAAAUGUAAUGUGAGUUACCGAAUCUGGAUUACUGUCUACAGAACCUCAAAAUUGUUCCCCCCUUGCAGGUAUGUCCGGCUAGUUUUAGCAACAAACGAUCCAUGCAAGAUCAUGUAAGGACCCACGCUAACGAGCGCCCCUUCCCGUGCCCCCACUGCGACCACGCCUUCAAGCAGAGGAAGGAGUUGACCCGUCACAUCAACCGGAUCCACACGCCCGGCUACGUCGCCCCGAUCCGUUCCCCCUGCCCCCACUGCGAUAAGGGCUACACGACCAAUUCCUUCCUACAGGGCCACAUCCGGCAAGUUCACACGGGGGAGAGACCCUUCCUCUGUGACCAGGCCGGUUGUGGGAAAGGCUUUGCUAAAAAUUCGCUGCUUACCUCACAUUUGAAAACGGCGCAUAAAAUUAUAAUCCGGCGGGUAGGCGGGUUCAAACUGCCAAGAUCUAAGAGGAUUGAGAUUCUGGCUAAA